rnacentral:rRNA from 1 species
UGGGGAAUUUUUGGGACAAUGGGGGGAAACCCUGAUCCAGCCAUCCCGCGUGUGCGAUGAAGGCCUUCGGGUUGUAAAGCACUUUUGGCAGGAAAGAAACGUCGCGGGUUAAUACCCCGCGAAACUGACGGUACCUGCAGAAUAAGCACCGGCUAACUACGUGCCAGCAGCCGCGGUAAUACGUAGGGUGCAAGCGUUAAUCGGAAUUACUGGGCGUAAAGCGUGCGCAGGCGGUUCGGAAAGAAAGAUGUGAAAUCCCAGAGCUUAACUUUGGAACUGCAUUUUUAACUACAGGGCUAGAGUGUGUCAGAGGGAGGUGGAAUUCCGCGUGUAGCAGUGAAAUGCGUAGAUAUGCGGAGGAACACCGAUGGCGAAGGCAGCCUCCUGGGAUAACACUGACGCUCAUGCACGAAAGCGUGGGGAGCAAACAGGAUUAGAUACCCUGGUAGUCCACGCCCUAAACGAUGUCAACUAGCUGUUGGGGCCUUCGGGCCUUGGUAGCGCAGCUAACGCGUGAAGUUGACCGCCUGGGGAGUACGGUCGCAAG